AAUUUUCUCAAAACAUGCUGC
rnacentral:siRNA from 1 species